CAGUCGCCGCGGUAAUACAGAGGGUGCGAGCGUUAAUCGGAUUUACUGGGCGUAAAGCGUGCGUAGGCGGCUUUUUAAGUCGGAUGUGAAAUCCCUGAGCUUAACUUAGGAAUUGCAUUCGAUACUGGGAAGCUAGAGUAUGGGAGAGGAUGGUAGAAUUCCAGGUGUAGCGGUGAAAUGCGUAGAGAUCUGGAGGAAUACCGAUGGCGAAGGCAGCCAUCUGGCCUAAUACUGACGCUGAGGUACGAAAGCAUGGGGAGCAAACAGGAUUAGAUAUCCCGGUAGUCCCUGUCUCUUAUAC
rnacentral:rRNA from 1 species